GACGAACGCUGGCGGCGUGCUUAACACAUGCAAGUCGAACGGAAAGGCCCUGCUUUUGUGGGGUGCUCGAGUGGCGAACGGGUGAGUAACACGUGAGUAACCUGCCCUUGACUUUGGGAUAACUUCAGGAAACUGGGGCUAAUACCGGAUAGGAGCUCCUGCUGCAUGGUGGGGGUUGGAAAGUUUCGGCGGUUGGGGAUGGACUCGCGGCUUAUCAGCUUGUUGGUGGGGUAGUGGCUUACCAAGGCUUUGACGGGUAGCCGGCCUGAGAGGGUGACCGGCCACAUGGGGACUGAGAUACGGCCCAGACUCCUACGGGAGGCAGCAGUGGGGAAUAUUGCACAAUGGGCGGAAGCCUGAUGCAGCAACGCCGCGUGCGGGAUGACGGCCUUCGGGUUGUAAACCGCUUUCGCCUGUGACGAAGCGUGAGUGACGGAAAUGGGUAAAGAAGCACCGGCUAACUACG
rnacentral:rRNA from 1 species